UUCGUAAGCAUAAAAUAGCUGAAAGCCAAAAGAUUUAUUACAUUUGUUUAUGCUGAAAUUUGUUUUUGUUCCAGGCACAACAAUGAAUUAACCUACUACUGGCAACGUCAACCCUGACCAAUGGUGUUAUUGCUAACCGAGACUUAGUUUUGAUUUCUUAGACUCUGUCUUUAGGUUUUAACAGAAACCUUGUGUUAUUUAUGAUAACAUUUGUUGGUCAUUUUUUGUUUUAUUAUCCUCACGGGCAUUUCAUGGUCUACAAAGGACAACAUUCAACAACCCAAUUACUUUGAGUCCUUUACGCAAGCCUAAGCUAUCCGAGUUGGAUCGUUCCAGGGAGACGAAAUCUAUGCCCUAUUCAACAGGCUGCUUCCAAUGGUAUCAUCAUUAUUGCAGAAAUUUAUCAUCUUUUAUCAUAUUCAUUACUGUCGAUUGAAUUUUUUGAUACAUGCCUAGAAAUAAAUAUGUUGGCAGUGACUUAGGUUUUGUAUCUUCAACCCACAAGCCUAGCCUUGUUGAUUGAAGAUACUUUUGACCUAUCAUGGUCUAAUCAUCCCAAAAGCUUAAUCCAAUGGGGGAAAUUAUGUGAUAGGUUUUGUAUCUAAACAUCCCUAGACAUGAGAAGCUGUUGGACUUAAGGCGAGGACAAUAUAAAUGCCUAUAUCACCGUAUGCUGAAAUUUAACUUUUAAUUUGAACAAUCUGCAAGAAGGAUUAAACUCUAAAACUCAUUUCCGUAGAGGCUCUAAUACCAUGUCUGGAAUCAACUACCCCAAAAACUUAAGCUAUAGGGUGAAAGCACAUGAACGGUUAUAUCUAAAAUGUCAGUGUAAUAUGUUCUUGAAUAAUGGCAUGCUUCAUCUAGGGCUAGGUACUGGGGGUGCUUCUCUUCUUCAUAUGAAAGGGAACCAACAACAUUUCAGAAUCAUUUGUGAGGAAUGAUGGGGUUUAUUUUCCCAGUGAGAAGUAAGGAGACUUCAUGUAGUUGCAUUAAGUGUUAGAAUUAUACUUUUUUCUAGCUUGAUAGCUAUAGAAAAUUAGAAAUUGACUUCUGUAUUGAGUUUAAAACCACUCAUAACUAUUGUUUCUUGUUUGUUAUCAUAAGUAUGAGCUCUUUCAUUGGAAAUGGGAGGGGCGGGAAAUAAGAAUUAAGGUUCAGAGGGUCUGUGUGAGAGUAUGGGAGAUUUGCAGAUAAAAUGAGUGUCAAAUAAGGAGCAGUGAACAUUAUCUGUGGUUAGUUUUCUAAUUUUAAUGGGUUUUAGGGAAGCUUAAGGAAAGGAACUAUUGUUUGAUGAGUUGGAUUUUUACUGCUGUCUACCAUAGAAAAUGUUAGUGUUGUAGAGAAAAUUAAAGAAAUCAUAAAAUAGCAGAAAUCUAGGCUUCAUUCCUUGGGUCUAUUGUGUAUCAAGAUUGGGUUUCAUUGCAUGACGAAGAAGACCAUAAUUCAUAAACCUAAUGUUCUCCCUAAAUAAAUGUUACAACUUACAACCAUUUAAAUAGACCUUCAAACUUCCAUUUCUCUCUACUACUUGUAUACCGAUUAGGGAAAUUUGGACAAUAGAACAAAACCCAUUUCAAUAGACCAUCAAACUUAUAUUUCUCUCUACUAUUGUUGUUGCUGGAUGUUAAAGCUUUCUGGUACUGAAAGUUUUGUUUUGCAAGUGAGAAAUUCUGUUGUUAGGACACUGUUCCAAACUUUAGGAAUGCAUGGACAAAAGCUUUCAAAGAGCAUGUGGGAAGAUUGCCUUUGUAAUUACGUAUUUCCUACAUUGGAUCGUGCUUCUCAUAUGGUUGCUACAUCAUCAAAAGAUGAAUGGCAAGGGAAAGAACUUGGAACUCGAGGAGGAAAAGCAGUUCACAUGCUCAUAUUGACAUUGAGCCUGUAUUAUGUAUUUUGUUUAUUUGUAGCCUCAGUGAUGUGAUAUAUUUGUUUGAGAAAAUGGGGAGAAUGAAAGGUGGAGAAAAAAAUAAGCUUUAGCAACUACAUGAAGUUCCUAAUCUAGAAAAAAUAUGGUGGAAAAAAUAUUAACUAAAAAUAGUCUCGAACAGUGUGCAUAAUGUUGAUCCCUGAAGUUCCUAAUCUUGUAUUUUCUAAUUAUACCACACUUCUUGUUUUCCAUAAUGAAAUUGAAAAGAAAUAAAUUAUACUGAUGAUGAUAUAAUAAUAUGACUAAAUUAUGGCACUUGUACCCCAUGGCCCAUAGUUUGGGUGCACGGAAGACUAUUUAGUAGUUGUAGUAGAAUUUUCAUUAGGUCACUGGUGGGGCACGAUUUUUGUUAUUCCUAUGUCAAGAUCUAGAUACCAUGUUAAAAUAGGAGAAAACAGAGAAAUUGAGUAAAAACCGUCUAUCAGAGUACACGGUGGAUCGUGUUUAUCUAGGUUAAUAGAGGAUACUCUGUUUCCUCCAAAUUAAAGAUAAUGUUCCUAUAAACCGCUAUUAUUAUAAUAUUAAUUCUGGUUUUCAGCAAUAAGCUUUCAGCUUCUUUGGAAUAAAGUCAAUAAACCGAACCUGACAAAUUAAAGAUUUAAACUCUGCCCAAAACAAAGAAUCAUGACUUGCAAUUAACAAAUCUACUUGUUGGAGCUUCAAGAACAAUUAGCAAUAAACUAACAAACGUAGCAAAGAACUUGUAGAGAUCAAAGAAUGUCAACUUAACAGUCCACAAAUUGCAAUGAAAUCAAUGGAUAAUGGUUCAUGUGUUAAAUCAUGAGAAUGUGAAUAUGUAAUAUGAUUUUUUGAUCCACAAAACCAGCAUAGAAACUGAGGGAGGAGGGUAAAUAGUUCUAAUAAAAUGUUGAGGUAUAGGGAGACUGAAAAGUUAGGGUAGGAUUGAAAAACUCAGAAAUAGUGUGUAUAAUACUGACUUCUAGCUUGUGUCUAUGCUGAUACCAUGACUGCAUAAACCUUUUACUAUAGGUGCACUGUAGUUAACUACUUCAGUAAUCUCAUAACAUUUUCCAAAAUCACUUGAUAUAUGUGUGCAUUCUAAUGAAUUUUGCAGUCGUAACAUGGCUCAGAAGCAGUGGGAUGAAACUCUUGUGCUUGUUUUGGGUGGAAUUGCACGUAUAUUACGGUUGUUCUUUCCUUUUUUCUCGAGCUUAAGUAACUUCUGGUCUGAUGGGUUCACUAUUAAAAGAUCAUGUAUCUGGUAUUUUUAUUUGGUGUAAUUUAUAAGUAGUCCUGAUUUAAUUUUGUUCUGUGUAGGCUGGGAAUCAUUGCUUCAAUUUGUUGAGAAUAGCAUUUUAAAUGGUAGUAAAGAGGUAGCACUUGCAGCAAUACAUUGUUUGCAGACAACUGUUAACUCUCAUUCGUCUAAGGUAGGGAUAAUGGUCUGAAUUGGAGCUGAUCUUCUGUUUGUAGAUGAAGAAUAGAUAGCUGAAUUGAUUUCUCGGCCAUCUUUGACAAUAGCCAUGUUGGCUUUUAAUCAAUUAACAAAUAUAGGAAUCAAGAAAGCAGAACUGGUUGAAAUAUACUCAUUUAAGUACUGACAGAAGUUUUGGAAUUAGGGAAAUAUGCCAAUGCCUUAUCUUAAAUCUUGAAUUUAUGUUUACGAGCUUGUUCUGAGAAAGCCUUCUAGUUACCGUGCCAAUGCUGCUGAUAAAGUGAUGCAGGAGAUUUUGCAUGGUCUUGGAGAGCUUUACGUGCAGGCUCAAGGAUUGUUCAAUGAUGUUGUAUACACACAACUGAUAGCAAUCAUAGAUUUGGCUGUGAAGCAAGCCAUGUUAACUAAUGAUAACUUUGAAAUGGAAUUUGUAAGUCCACUUUCUAAUAACUUUAUCAAUAUUUCUUAAUUAUUUUUUUCUUAUUCUCUUGUAAAUUGGAACUUCAAACCGUUAUUAUUAUGUUCAUUAGUUUUUCCAACAAUACCGGGGAAUAAGAAGCAAGCAAAUAUUCUUU